rfam:Kutzneria sp. 744 genomic scaffold supercont1.1, whole genome shotgun sequence.
UUGCCGGUGCAAGUCCGGUCCGGGUAGCUGUCAGGAGGCCCGGUAGCAGGCUGGCGGCUUGGCCGGGAAACGGGCCAGGUCGAAGCCCAGCGUCGAAAGCCCUUCAAGGGGAAGCAACCGAGCGGUCCGUAACAUCA